rnacentral:rRNA from 1 species
GGGCAGUUUGACUGGGGCGGUCGCCUCCUAAAAGGUAACGGAGGCGCUCAAAGGUUCCCUCAGCACGGUCGGAAAUCGUGCAAAGAGUGUAAAGGCAGAAGGGAGCUUGACUGCGACACCAACAAGUGGAGCAGGGUAGAAAUACGGACUUAGUGAUCCGGUGGUUCCGAGUGGAAGGGCCAUCGCUCAACGGAUAAAAGCUACCCCGGGGAUAACAGGCUUAUCUCCCCCAAGAGUCCACAUCGACGGGGAGGUUUGGCACCUCGAUGUCGGCUCGUCUCAUCCUGGGGCUGGAGUAGGUCCCAAGGGUUGGGCUGUUCGCCCAUUAAAGCGGUACGCGAGCUGGGUUCAGAACGUCGUGAGACAGUUCGG